rnacentral:rRNA from 1 species
UGUGGUAGCAUAAUCACUAGGUUUUUAAUUGGAAUUUUGUAUGAAUGAUUGAACAAGAGAAAAACUGUCUUUAUAUUCAAGUUUGACUUUAACUUUUAAGUGAAAGGCCCUUUUAUUCCAAACGGACCACAAAACCCUAUAAAUCUUCACCUUACCUGUAAAUAUUUUAUUUCAUUUUGUCGCCCCACCAUUUAAAUUUAAUUUUUUGUUAUGUUGGGGAGACAAAUUCUAUAAUUUAUAUUAACCGCUUGAAAAGAAAUCAAGAGCUUACCGACCACAUUGUAAUAGAUCCCCUCUAAACAUUAAAAUAUUAAUUUACCUUACGGAUAACAACGUUUUUUCUCUUGAUAGUUCAUACCUAAAAAAAACAUUUUAACCUC